rnacentral:rRNA from 1 species
AUCUUGCACAAUGGGCGAAAGCCUGAUGCAGCAACGCCGCGUGCGGGAAGAAGGCCCUAGGGUUGUAAACCGCUUUCAGCAGGGAAGAAAAUGACGGUACCUGUAGAAGAAGGUGCGGCCAACUACGUGCCAGCAGCCGCGGUGACACGUAGGCACCAAGCGUUGUCCGGAUUUAUUGGGCGUAAAGAGCUUGUAGGCAGUUCGGUUAGUCGGGUGUGAAACCUCUGGGCUCAACUCAGAGACGCCACCCGAUACUGCUGUGACUAGAGUGCGGUAGGGGAGCGGGGAAUUCCUGGCGUAGCGGUGAAAUGCGCAGAUAUCAGGAGGAACACCAGUGGCGAAGGCGCCGCUCUGGGCCGUAACUGACGCUGAGAAGCGAAAGCGUGGGGAGCAAAC